rnacentral:rRNA from 1 species
GGGAGGCAGCAGUAGGGAAUUUUUCACAAUGGGCGCAAGCCUUAUGAAGCAAUGCCGCGUGAACGAUGAAGGUCUUAUAGAUUGUAAAGUUCUUUUAUAUGGGAAGAAACGCUAAAAUAGGAAAUGAUUUUAGUUUGACUGUACCAUUUGAAUAAGUAUCGGCUAACUAUGUGCCAGCAGCCGCGGUAAUACAUAGGAUGCAAGCGUUAUCCGGAUUUACUGGGCGUAAAACGAGCGCAGGCGGGUUUGUAAGUUUGGUAUUAAAUCUAGAUGCUUAACGUCUAGCUGUAUCAAAAACUGUAAACCUAGAGUGUAGUAGGGAGUUGGGGAACUCCAUGUGGAGCGGUAAAAUGCGUAGAUAUAUGGAAGAACACCGGUGGCGAAGGCGCCAACUUGGACUAUCACUGACGCUUAGGCUCGAAAGUGUGGGGAGCAAAUAGGAUUAGAUACCCUAGUAGUCCACACCGUAAACGAUCAUCAUUAAAUGUCGGCCGAAU